rnacentral:lncRNA from 1 species
UCCUGUUAUUAUUCCUCAUAUAAAUUAUCAACCCACAUGAUCUAUUCAACCGAGGUAUGCUUGAGGUUACUAAAGAGAUUGAACACAAGUUAACAAGACAUGCACACACUAACUAUGAGUAGCUUCACAUUCUGGACCAACUACAAUCUUUUACAGAAAUCUCUUAGCAUUCACAAAUGCUCAAAGUUUCAAAUCUUGAAAAUAUUCCUUGUUGGGAUCCAAUUCAGUCCUUUUGAAAAUAACAACAAGAUUAGGAACAAUAACAGAAAAUAAUACAACAGAAGAAAUGGUAGAAGUCUAACAGAAAGAUCUCCAGCUGCCUGNNNNN